rnacentral:snRNA from 10 species
GGAUGUGAGGGCAGUCUGGCUGCAACAUCUGUCAGCCUAUUGUUUGCUAGGGUUGAUUUGGCACAUCUGGCUGGCUAGGCGGGUGUCCACUUCCUCCCUCACCAGUCCAUGUGCGUCCCUGCCGAAGCUACGUGCUCAAAGAGCAUGACCAUUCCUGAUAGAGGAGGGUCAGUCUUUGGUCAAGAGUAUACAAAUAGCUGCAUUCUCCUGCAGCUACUCCAAACAAGCUCUCGUUAGUUGUAUGCCUUGAAUAUUAAUAAGAUCCCGAGGUCAGGUACAACUUUGUCUUCUG